rnacentral:rRNA from 1 species
ACAGGCGUGGCAAGCGUUACUCGGAAUUAUUGGGUGUAAAGGGCAGGUAGGUGGCCGGAUAAGUGAGGGGUGAAAUCCUGCGGUUUAAUCGCAGAACUGCCUUUCAGACUGUUCGGCUUGAGAGUGAUAGAGGAAGAUGGAAUUCCCGGUGUAAGGGUGAAAUCUGUAGAUAUCGGGAAGAACACCAACGGCGAAGGCAAUCUUCUGGGUCACUUCUGACGCUGAGCUGCGAAAGCUAGGGGAGCAAGCAG